ACCGCCUGCCCAGUGA
rnacentral:miRNA from 1 species